CAGGCUGGCCUGUUCCCCCAGUGAGGGAUGUCUCCAAGCAUAAGGAGUCACUUUUUAAUAAGAAGCCCAUUUCGUUCAUUUACUAGCAACUGCUAUUAAAGACCGAUAAACAUGGCAUAAGGCAAGCCACUCCUUCCAGUAAGAUGACUCAGCAAGCCACGCCUUCCAGCAACAUGACUCAGCAAGCCACUCCUCCCAGCAAGAUGACUCAGCUUUGGCUGAAGACCAUAGCAAUGGAUGAACCAACUAUGGGCUUUACCUUCUAAAAUCGUGAGCCCAAAUAGAUGUUCUUUACUUUUCUUGAA